rnacentral:lncRNA from 1 species
GGUUUCUAUCCAUCAUGUCAUGUCAUCUAUAAAAACAAAGACAGUUUUCUUCUCUUCAAUCUGUAAGCAUUUUAUUUCAUUUUCUUGCCUUUCUGCAAUGGCUAGAAUGUCUAGUAUAGUGUUGAAUAGAAGCAGGGAGAGCAAUAAUCCUUGCCUUGUUCCUGAUCUUAGCGGACAGCAUUUUAUCACUAAGAGUGUGUGUGUGAAUACGCCCUCCAUCGGGCUAAGAAAUUUCCCUUUCAUUUCUUGCUGGAGGUGGGGAGGAAUAUUUAAAAAGAAUGUGUAGGUUUGUCUUGAAUUUUGUUAAAUGUUUUGCAUGUAUGUGUUAUGGUUUUGGUAUUAUGUGUUCCUUAAAUAUUUGAUUGAAUUCACCAGUGAAACCAUCUUAGUUAGAUGUUUUCUUUGUGGAACUUUUAAGUGAAAACUCAAUUUACAUAAAAAUAUAUGGCCCUUCAGAUUUUGUACUUCUUUUUGUGUCAGUGUUAAUAAUACGUAUCUUUCAAAGAAUAUCCCCCUUUUUUUUUGGUAGAGAUAGGGUUUUGCCAUGUUGUUGGUAGCAAGCCCUAACCCUGUCAUAAACAGGCCUUAAAUAAACUGGCCAUAAACAGGAUUUCUGCAGCAAUGGGACAUGCUCAUGAUGGCUGUCAUGCACACUGCUAAAAGUUGUUGGUUUACUAGAGCAGGGCAAGGAACACCUGGCCCCGCCCGGAGCAAAAAACUGCUCAAACCACAAACGAUAGCAGGAAAGGCCUGUGCCUUGGCAGCAUGUUUUUGCUGCAGAUAAUCAGCCAGAGCCUGUUUCUCUGCUCCUCGCUGAGAUUGCUUUGUUUCCCAUAAAGAUUGCUUUUAGCUAAUCUACAAUCUAUAGAAGCAAUGCUUAUCACUGGCUUUCUGUCAAUAAAUGUGUGGGUCAAGCUCUGUUUGUGGCUCUCAGCUCUGAACGCUGUCACCCCUGAUCCCCACUUUAUACUGUAUUCCUGUGUCUGUCUUAAUUACUGUAGCGCCGCUGGGUUGGAGUCUCCACGACCGAGCUGGUCUCGGCAAGUGGUGCCCAACACGGGGGCUCGAACCUGGGUCGAAUAGUCGCCAGAGCGAUGGUUAGAAAAUGUGGAACUACACUGGAGGACACCCGAGUACUGUUAAAGCAAUCCUCAUGGCCAAAACCAGCGGCCAAUUUGGAUAUCAUCAAGACACCUGAAACUUCAUCAUGAGCCAGAUGCUGAGGAAGAGAUUUUGGGAGGAACCCAAGGACCUCCCACUUGCAGCCAUGUUGAGACUGACAAUAAGUCCACCUUUCCUGCUUGUAGUGGGUCAUUUAAAACUUGAUCUCCCUAAUCAUCAUGGGACUUGUCAAGAAUGUAGAUUGUUUUCUUGUGUGAAUUCUUCCUUGUAUAAUACUGAUCAUUCUAUUUUAGCGGUAAGAACCCAAGAAGGAGUAUGGAUACCUGUAAAGCUUUCUGGUCCUUGGGAAGCCUCUCCUUCUGUGCAUAUUAUUACUGAAAUUCUUCAAAAGAUUCUGAGAUGCUCUCAGUGUUUCAUUGCUACUUUAAUUUUAAUCAUUAUGGGAUUGAUUGCUGUCACAGCUACUGCCGCGGCAGCUGGAGUUGCUUUGCAUUUCACAGUACAAACAGCAGACUAUGUAAAUAAUUGGCAGAAAAAUUCUACUUUGCUGUGGAAUUCCCAAACUAAUAUAGACCAGAAACUAGCUAAUCAAAUCAAUUAUCUCCAACAAUCUGUAAUGUGGCUAGGAGAUUGAGUAGUUAGUCUAGAAUAUAGAAUGCAGUUACAAUGUGAUUGGAAUACUUCUGAUUUUUGCAUUACUCCUCAUCUGUAUAAUGAAAGACAGCAUGAGUGGGAAAGAGUUAAGAAACAUUUGAAAGGUCAUACUGGAAAUUUACUUUAGAUAUUAUGCAACUGAAGGAACAAAUAUUUCAAUCUUCUCUGGCACAUCUGACACUAAUGCCAGGAACUGAAGUGCUUGAAGGCGCUUCAGAUGGAUUAGCAGCUAUUAACCCAUUAAAAUGGAUCAAGACACUUGGAGGCUCUGCAAUUUGAAUGAUGACUGUGCUUUUAAUUGGUGUUGUUUGUCUUUGUAUAUCAAAUUGAAAUACAAAUGAAAUUGGUCAUUUGUACAUCUGCAAAUGUGGAUCGCGAAUCCUGCGAGAAGUAGCCUACUGUGACAAAGCUGCCUAUGCCUUUAUCACUUUGCAAAAACAGAAAGGUGGGACACGUUGGUAGCAAUCCCUAACCCUGUCAUAAACAGACCUUAAAGAAACUGGCCAUAAACAGGAUUUCUGCAGCAAUGGGACAUGCUCAUGAUGGCUGUCAUGCACACUGCUAAAAGUUGUUGGUUUACUAGAGCAGGGCAAGGAACACCUGGCCCCGCCCGGAGCAAAAAACUGCUCAAACCACAAACGAUAGCAGGAAAGGCCUGUGGCUUGACAGCAUGUUUUUGCUACAGAUAAUCAGCCAGAGCCUGUUUCUCUGCUCCUCACUGAGAUUGCUUUGUUUCCCAUAAAGAAUGCUUUUAGCUAAUCUACAAUCUAUAGAAGCAAUGCUUAUCACUGGCUUUCUGUCAAUAAAUGUGUGGGUCAAGCUCUGUUUGUGGCUCUCAGCUCUGAAGGCUGUCAGCCCCCUAAUCCCCACUUUAUACUGUAUUCCUGUGUCUUUGUCUUAAUUCCUCUAGUGCCGCUUCGUUAGGUCUCCAUGACUGAGCUGGUCUUGGCACCAUGUUGCUCAGACUAGUCUUGAACUCCUGCAAUCCUCCCACAAAGUGCUGGGAUUACAGGCGUGAGCCACUGCACCUGGCCACAAUCUUCCAUUUUAACUUGUCAAAUUUAUUAGCAUAAACUUGUUUAAAUAUUCCUUUAUUAUCC